AGCGAACGCUGGCGGCAGGCUUAACACAUGCCAGUCGAGCGGGCACCUUCGGGUGUCAGCGGCAGACGGGUGAGUAACACGUGGGAACGUACCCUUCGGUUCGGAAUAACGCUGGGAAACUAGCGCUAAUACCGGAUACGCCCUUAUGGGGAAAGGUUUACUGCCGAAGGAUCGGCCCGCGUCUGAUUAGCUAGUUGGUGGGGUAACGGCCUACCAAGGCGACGAUCAGUAGCUGGUCUGAGAGGAUGAUCAGCCACACUGGGACUGAGACACGGCCCAGACUCCUACGGGAGGCAGCAGUGGGGAAUAUUGGACAAUGGGCGCAAGCCUGAUCCAGCCAUGCCGCGUGAGUGAUGAAGGCCUUAGGGUUGUAAAGCUCUUUUGUCCGGGACGAUAAUGACGGUACCGGAAGAAUAAGCCCCGGCUAACUUCGUG
rnacentral:rRNA from 1 species